rnacentral:lncRNA from 1 species
CAAAACCCCAUCAAACAUUCCAAACUUCACUCAUCUUCCUCACUAACCCGCAUAUCUUUUCACCGUUGUUGCACCUUUAACAACCCUCAAAGCAGCCCAACCAGACGCGGUAAAAACGAGCCAAAAAUCCAGCGAAACAGUCUCUUUCGCAAAGAAAACUGCAACUCCAAUGUUGAGUCAUCGAGGUUGUUUUCGAGUUUUUCCGGCGUCGAUUUCGGUCUAUGUUCGCACCAAAUAAUUGCUGCUGUAAAAGUUUUGCUAAAGGAUUAUUUUAAUGAGGAAAGCUAUUCUCAAGGUAUAUUUUCAAAUCUCCUUUCAGUUCAUUAGUUUUUUUUGUGUUUCCUUACAUAUUUUUGUGAAAUAAAUAGCUGCUACUCAUUAAUAUGUUGCUUUAUGUUUGGAUCGCCUUCAUGAGUAGAUGAUCACGUAAAUAUAUCGCUUCAUUAGCUUUGUUUCCCUGCUAUUUAAAAAAGAAAAUCCUACUACCUUUCUCUUCAAAAUAAGAAAAAAAAUAUCUAUUCAUGUAGUAACUUUGGAUAUCCUUUAUGACUAUUAAUUUUAUAGACAUAUAAAUGGAUUUUCUGCUAGUUCAUUUAUCUCAUUUUUCUUUUUGUACUCUAUACUUCAAUAGUUUGUCACAAAUUUUGAAGAAGAAAAGGAGCGUAUAAUUAGGGCUUCUACUUUCGGUUGUUUAUUUAUUCCAUGUUUCAACAGCAUGGAAACAAAGUUAUGGAAAUGAAAAACUUACGAAAAGGAAAAGUUACAGUAGUAUUAAAUUUUAUUUCUUAGGUAUUUAGUUUUUGAAUUGAUCUUUGAGUAAACAAUCUGAACGUUCUGACUGGAAAAUUGAGAGAUGGUAAUAGUUUUUUUAGCGUUCGAAUAUUAAAAUGGUAUAUCAAAGCACAUUAAAAUAAUUCAUCACACAUAUGGGUACGGUUCCAUGACGUAGUUGUGAUACGUAAUCCUAAAUUCGGGUGUGCAUUUAUGUGACCCAAAUCCAAAAUUUCAACAAUGUUAAAAUAUGCCAAAGACCGCGGGUGUAUUUAUGUGACAUGAUUUGAGACAUAUUUUAAUAGCGUAGCAAUCUUUCUUUAAUCAAUUAAAUAAAAGCAAUUUAAAAUUUAAAAUUACACCAUAGGUGUAACAUGUACAAAAUCAGAAUUGUUAGCCAAUUAUAAUAAGUUAAGAGACCGUGCUAGAACCACGGGAUCCGAGGGUGCCUAACACCUUCCCUCGGGUCAACAGAAUUCCUUACUUAGAAUUUCUGGGUCGCGGACUCCAUUUGGGCAGUUGAAAAACUUCCUCGAUUUGAGAUUCUAAAUAAACCGAUGACUUAGGAAACAAAAAGCCAAACCUAUCCCAAGUGGCGAAUCUAAAUAAAUAAAUAAUCACAUUUCGAAUAAUGACACUUUAAUUGGAAAAACUCCCUUAUACGUUUUAUCCUUCAGGGUAGCCGUAUAAAAAGGAGGUGUGACAGCUUUGGCGACUCUGCUCGGGAAUAAAGGCGAAAGAGGGGCUCUCAGAUUAUGCUGGGGACGGGAAGAGGAAAUGGUUCCCCAGGUUAUGCUGGGGAUAUAAAGAGAAAUCCUCAUGCCGGGGAGCGAAAGAAAGAAAUUUCUCGGUCUGUGCUAGGGAGAGUGGAGUGUGACCCUUGGGUUAUGCCGAGGAGGUCCACAAGUUGUGCAGGGGAAGGCUAGGGAUGUAGCCCUAAAUCUGGGGAAGGAGUCAGGGAUCGGAGUCCCAUACUAUCAUGUUUUAUGAUUCUCCUAUCCUUCUUUUAUAAGAUUGCAGGAAAAUAUGUGAAGAGAACUACCCCUUUUUUUGUUAAUCAUUGUUGCCACACUAUUCUUAGCCUUUGUGUCGUCCCUUUGAUUGCAUUUGUCACUUGUCCCCAUUGCUUUGGAUUAUACCUAUUUCAAAUUUUCAAUCAAAACACAAUUUGUUAGUUCGAACAAUGAUCGGUUUGUGGCCUUGGUUUGCUUGAUCCCCGGCUCAUUUCCGUUGGAAGAAACCCUUGACUUCUGAACUUCACCGCGUAGGUUGGUCGGGGGUCCUCGUCUUUCAGAAUGCUUCUCUUUCACAAAUCCUUACUUAUGACUUUUGUCCCGAUUUCCGCUUCGGGGCUUGCCUUUUGGGGAACUUGUGGGAACCAAUAGCCCGCUUGGGCUUACCCUUUCCAAUCUUCAUUCGCCUACGUGGGCUCAACUUUGAAUUUCUUCUUUUUCUAAUCUCUUGCUUUUGAAGUGCCCGUUGUUAUGAUCAGCCGGGAUUGGCUAAAUGCGCCUGCUGAUACAGAAUAUACCUUUUGGUUUUGCCAGGAGAAAACCUGUGAGACCGGUUCUACUACCUUCUCUUGCGGAAUAGUCAGGAAAUCAAAGUUAAACCGAAAAAGAUUGGGAGAACAACAAAACCAAACACAUGAAUUUAGAGAGGAAUGUUGCUUUUGGAGAAAAGGGAAGAACUUAUCUGGGAGUGCGUGCCGACUUUAAAUGUAAACAACAUGCUUCUUGGACUAGAUGCCCGACCCAUAUCCAUUUCUGCUUUUUGAUUUCAAUCUUUCAAAACCAUGGAAACUUGUUCAGGCUUGGGUGGUAAUAUUUCAUCUUUUCGGCCAACGAACGCCCAUUUGCGGGUUUUCGCCAAUCGGCCUCUCUCAUUUCUCUUCUCCCAUCGCCCGAUAGUGCUCUGUGCGAGUUUUUACUAAACAGACUCUCUCAUUUUUAUUUUCUCGGCCGACGAUGCCCUUUGCGGGUUUUCGCCAAUCGACCUCUCUCAUUUCUCUUCUCCUGUCGCCCGAUAGUGCUCUUUGCGAGUUUUCACUGAACAGACUCUCUCAUUUUGAUUUCUCUACUCACCGUCGCCUUAUGGUGCCCGAAGGUUUUCACCAAUAUGACUCUCUCAUUUUAUUUCUCUCAAUUUGAAUUGUGCCGAACCCCAAUAAUGGUGUUUGUCACGUCACUCUUUUGCCAAUUGAUCGGAAGGACUCGGACUAGGCUCUUGAGCAAAGGGAAUCGGAUGGAAAAUUACAAUUUUGGAACCAUUCUAGAGGGUAUACGUCCGAACUAUUACAUUUCUGCCCUAGUUUUAUUUCUUGGGAAACUGGGGUUUUAUUUUUAUAUGACGGAACCUUAGGGAGAGGCUGCCUACGUAUCCUUUCGGAAUCAAGUCAGACAUAGUUCAGGAAUUGUUUCCUAAACUAAUUUGUUUGUUGUUUCUUUUGUUUUUAAUCAUUUUUUUCCUUUUACUUUUAAAUAGCAACUCUGGGUUUCCAAAGAGGGUAAACACAAUGCAAUCGGCUCGAGGGGUUUGCGAAGGAUUGGUAGCGUUUGGGGUAGUGUGAAAGAAAGCCUUCGUCAUUUCAACAAGCCAGAACCAUUGUAGCAGAGGGUUCAAACGUAAUACUUUUUUACUGCAUCUGCGUUCACUGCUAUCUCGGGCUCGUCUCCUUCAACGUCACCCAGGUACAAUGCUCCUUUGGAUAAUAUCUUUCUCAUAAUGUACGGAUCUUUCCAAUUCGGAGGAAACUUUCCUUUGGCUUCCUGAUGGUGAGGGAGUAUACGCCUCAAUACCAGCUGUCAGACUUCGAAAUUCCUAGGGCGCACCUUCUUGUUAUAAGCGCGGGCCAUUCUUUGUUGGUAUAACUACCCAUGACAAACUGCAGCCAUUUUUUCUCAAUUAGUGACAGCUGCUCCAACCGAGUUUUAACCCGCUCGCUAUCCUCAAUUUUUGCUUCGACAAUUACCCGGAGGGAAGAGAUUUCUACUUAUGUGGGUAUGACAGCUUCAGUCCCUUAGACUAGUAAGUACGGAGUUGCCCCAACCGAUAUGCACACUGUGGUGCGAUAUCCCAGCAAUGCAAAAGCAAACUUUUCAUGCCAUUGUCUUGAGCUUUGAAUCAUUUUUCUAAAAAUCCUCUUGAUUUUCUUGUUAGCUGCUUUGACAGCACCAUUAGUUGGGCUGGUAAGGGGUGGAUUUUCUAUGUGUUAUCUUAAAUUGUUCGCAUAUUUCUCCCAUCAGACGACUGUUCAGAUUGGCUGCGUUUUCUCUAAUGAUGGUUGCAGGGAUACUGAAAUGACAAAUGAUGUUGGAAUGCACAAAAUCUACCACAACUUUCUUGGUGACGGACUUAAGUGUGAUUAUUUCACCCAUCAGACGACUGUUUAGAUUGGCUGCAUUGUUUGCAAUGAUGGUUGCUGGGAUACCACAACGACAAAUGAUUUUGGAAUGCAUAAUAUCUACCAAAUCUUUCUUGGUUACGGACAUAAGUGUGAUGGCUUUAACCCAUUUUGUGAAGUAGUUAAUAGCAACCAAUAUGAAUCUAUGUCCAUUUGAGGCUUUUGGCUUAAUCGGCCCAAUGACAUCCAUGCCCCAGGCAGCGAAUGGCCAGGGUGCUGACAUAGGAUGCAAUUCGGUUGGUGGUGCAUGAACCAAAGCACCGUGCACCUGACAUUGAUGACAUUUUCGAACGAAGCUAAAGCAAUCUUUCUCCAUAGUCAUCCGGUAAUACCCUGCCCGAAGUAUUUUCUUAGCAAGUACAUAUCCAUUCAUAUGGGGUCCACACAUUCCUACGUGUACUUUAUACAUAAUUCUCCCGGCUUCCUCGGUGUCAACACAUCUUAGUAAGUUGAGAUCCGGGGUCCUCUUGUAUAAAGUAUCACCACUCAAGAAGAAAUUACUCGCAUGCCGUUGGAUGAUUUUCUUUUGCUCCCCGGUAGCUUGCUCGGGAUACUCUAGUGCUUUCAAAAAUCUCUUGAUGUCAUAAUACCAUGGCUGGGUGCUGGACUCUUCCUCGGUCACAUUACAAUACCCAUGCCUUUAUUUAAUUUGGAUUUCCAAUGGAUCAAUGUAAGCGUUUCUAGGGUAAGGCAACAUGGAAUCCAGAGUUGCGAGUGCGUCUGCUAGCUCAUUGUGACAACGAGAAAUGUACCUGAAUUGUACCGACUUGAAUUGUUUGCUGAGAUUCUCCACAUGGUGUCGAUAAGGGAUGAGCUUAACGUCUUUUGUUUCCCACUCCCCUUGAGCCUGUCGGAUGAUAAAAUCUUAAUCCCCCAUGAUCAACAAUUCCUCAACAUCUUGGUCAAUGGCCAUGUUCAUGCCUAUAAUGCAAGCCUCGUAUUCAGCUGUAUUAUUGGUGCAGAAAAACCGGAGCCUUGCUGUAGCCGGGUAAUGUUGACCAAUGGGUGAGAUUAAAAUUGCCCCAAUCCCUACGCCCUUUGCAUUUACUGCUCCGUCGUAGAACAUUUUCCAAGUGGGGAUGUCUUCAAAUGUACUUCCACCGAAUUCACUUCUUCAUCAGGGAAAUAGGUAUUCAAAGGAUGAUAUUCAUCGUCAAUUGUAUUCUCGGCCAGAUGAUAUGCUAAUGCUUGAGCCAUCAUUGCGGUACGAGUGACAUAAACUAUGUCGAACUCGGUGAGCAGGAUUUUCCCUUUUGCCAAUAGCCUUGUGGGCAUCGAUUUUUGGAAUAUAUACCCCAACGGGUCCAGCCUGGUUAUGAGGUAGGUGGUGUGGGCUUGCAAGUAAUGCCUCAACUUCUGGGCAACCCAUGUCAAGGCACAACAGGUUCUUUCUAGCAGCAGCCUCGUAACUAGUAAACUUCUUGCUCAAAUAACAGAUGGCUUGCUCCUUCUUUCCCGUGGUGUCAUGCUGCCCGAGAAUACAACCAAAAGAGCUCUCCAAGACUGUUAAAUAAAUAAACAAUGGCCUUCCCGGUUCCGGUGGGACCAAGACUGGUGGGUUGGACAAGUAGUGUUUGAUUCUGUCGAAAGCCUCUUGACACUCACCAGUCCAUUUAAUUGUUGCGUCCUUUUUCAAUAGCUUGAAUAUGGGCUUGCAUGUGGAAGUCAACUAGGCGAUGAAUCAGCUAAUGUAAUUCAGUCUUCCCAGUAGGCUCAUUACAUCUUUCUUAGUAUUUGGAGGAGGUAGCUCUCGACUGGCAUAUGGAAGUCAAAUAGGCAAUGAAUCGGCUGAUGUAAUUCAGUCUUUCCAGUAGGCUCAUUACAUCCUUCUUGGUUUUUGGAUGAGGUAGCUCUCGAAUGGAUUUUAUCUUGGUUGGAUCAAACUCGAUGCCUCUUCGGCCGACAAUGAAUCCCAGAAGUUUGCCUGACGGGACCCCGAAUGCACACUUGGCUGGAUUCAAUUUCAAAUCAUACUUGCGAAGAACUUUCUUAAGUCUUUGAUAUUCUUGUUNNNNNNNNNNNNNNNNNNNNNNNNNNNNNNNNNNNNNNNNNNNNNNNNNNNNNNNNNNNNNNNNNNNNNNNNNNNNNNNNNNNNNNNNNNNNNNNNNCUUGGACUUGAUAAUCACAUCGUCCACAUAUACUUCUAUUUCCUGAUGCAUCAUGUCAUGGAAAAUGGUGGUCAUAGCCCUCAUAUAUGUUUCCCCAUCGUUCUUAAAAUUGAAAGGCAUAACUCUGUAACAGUAAGCCCCGCAAGGUUUGGUGAAGACUAUUUUCUGAGCAUCUUCCUCAUCCAUCAAUACUUGGUGGUAUCCUGCGUAAAAAUCUACAAAGGACUUUAUCUCGUGUUUGGCACGGUUAUCAACAAGAAUGUGGAUGUCAGGCAACAGGAAGUUGUCUUUGGGACUCGCAUUGUUUAAAUCUCUGUAAUCUACACAUACUCGGGUUUUCCUGUCUUUUUCGGUACCAGGACCACAUUUUCCAGCCAUGUGGUGUAUCGAACCACUCGGAUUACCCUCGCUUCUACUGUUUUGUGAUCUCCUCUUUGAUCUUAUCACUGAUAUCAGGUUUGAACUUUCAUUGUCUUUGUUGGACUGGAGGGCAUUCGGGGUAUGUGGGCAACUUGUGAACCACCAGAUCAACACUCAGCCCAUGCAUAUCAUCGUAAAACCAAGCAAACACGUCUUUGAAUUCCCGCAGAAGUUAGAUCGGUGAGUCCCAGAUUUCUCUGUUCACAUGGAUGCUUAUUUUAGUUUCCUUGAUUUCGUCGGGACCACCCAAGUUAACUGGUUCGGUAUCAUUUAAGUUCGGUUUAGGUUUAUUUUCAAAAUGUUUCAACUCUCGGUUGAUUUCCCUAAAAUCCUCUUCUUCAUCAUACUCUGGUUCUUGGUUCAUUAUUUCACAAAUAGGCAGCAUGUUCGGGCCGAGGCAUGAAGUCCGUGAGCAUGUCAUAUUAUUUAAAGCCACAUUAUUGGAACUGAAAGAAAAGAAAUAGAAAUAGAAGAAAAACAAAAAUCAGAAAGGCAUGAAGUCUGUGAGCAUGUCAUAUUAUUUGAAGCCGCAUUAUUUGAACUGAAAGAAAAGAAAUAAAAAUAGAAUAAAAACAAAAAUCAGAAAAAUAGAGGAGUGCAGACGAUGAAAUAUUGAUUUCAUUUAUUGAAAUUGUAAGAUAACAGGGUUUAAUUUGGAAUUUAAAGGACAAAAAUACUAAAUAAAAACACUCGAGCUACACCCUGAAAUAACUCGUGAUGCAAGAAAAGGUGGCAAGGCAGGACUACCGAGCCUCCGGCCCGACUGGGAAAGGUGUGGCCUUCCCGUUUUGCAACUUGGCAUCAGGCCCCAUGUAGAGCACCUCAGCAGUGCUUGAGCCUUCUCCCAGCUGGACCAUGUUGCUUCAUAAGAAAAGGCGUGGCCUUCCAAUUUUACAACUUGGCAUCCGGUCCCGUGUAAAUCACCUCAGCAGUGCUUGAGCCUUCUCCCAGCUGGACUAUGUUGACUUCAUACAAUAAUUUCCUCGUGGCAUUACAUAUCUCUUCAAUUUCCUCCGCUGUGAAGGUCUCAUCUUCUUCUUCCUCACUGUACUUUUGUUUCACAAAUGUUUUGUACAAGUGGGGUAGGGGUUGUGGCAAAGAACCAUCCAUGACGUUUCCUACGGUUGGCCUAGGUGAUAUCUUCCGGCGUUGGAUGGAAACCUAGGCCAAAAAACUUCUCUGCGGUAGGCAAAAUGAUCAGCUCAAUUAUGCCUUGUAGAGAACUUCCAAGUCCCUUGCAUGGUUUAAACCCUAGUCAUAUCAUCUCUCUCGCUACCAUGAUUGAGGUAUUGGAGAGGAAAGGCUGGGGAAAUAGUUUGCCUUCUUUGUGUUGACCAGCUACCACAUUUCAAAAGCCUGGUAAACUAUAUGCUCACUUCCCUCUUUAGCUUUGAGGCAAGGAACGGAGGGAUCACGGUAAAUUGACUGUUCAUCUUCUUCGUGGACCACAAUUUCUUGGUUCUCAUGUUCAAAUUUCAACAUUUGGUGCAGAGUAGAAGGCACAGCUCCUGCCGUGUGAAUCCAUGGUCUUCCUAGGAGAUAGUUGUAGGAUGUUUCCAUGUCUAAUACUUGAAAUGUUACUUCAAAGUCGACCGGACCGAUGGUCAAUACUAAGUCAAUUUCCCAUAUGGUGUCUCUUUUAAUUCCAUCAAAAGCUCAGACACACACAUUGUUGGGAUGGAUCCUCUCUGUUCCAAUUUCCAUUCUUUGAAAUGUUGAUAGUGGGCAUAUAUCUACCCCGGAACCUCCAUCUAUCAUUACUCUUUUGACGUAAUAGCCUUCGCAUUUGACGGUGAGAAUAUGUCCACCCCGGAGCCUCCAUCUACCAUCACUUUUAAAACGUAAUAUCCUUCGUAUUUGGCAGUGAGAUGCAAGGCUUUGUUGUGGGUAGCUCCCUCUGGAGGCAAAUCAUUCUUGCUGAAUGUAACCUGAUUAAUAGCGAAGAAUCUUUCUGCCAUUUUCUCCAGUUGUUCCACGGAGGUUUGAACCGAUACAUAAGCUUCAUUCAAUUUUUUGUCCAACACUUUCUGGUGCUCUGGAGAUUUCGUCAGCAAUGAUAAUAAAGAGACUUGCUCGGGAGACUUACGGAGCUGGUCUACUACCUCAUAAUCUAGCAUUUUCAUCUUUCAAAAGAAGGCCUCUGCCUCUUCAACAUUUAUGGGUUUUUCGGGUGGAAAUCGCCUUUUGGUGGCAGUGUUCACUUCUUCCAUGUCUGAAUACUUCGUUGCGGGGUGGCCCUUUUGAGUUUCCCUAAUGAUCUCUUUGCCUUUGUGUGUUACUAUGGUUUCUUGGUAGUUCCAUGGGACUGCAGAAGGGUCUGUCAUUGGCUUCUGAGGCACGCGAUCGAUUACCACGGGCUCAUUCAGCCUUGGCGGUUUAAUUAGUCCCCUUACCACAUAAGCUCCCUCGGGUACAUACAUCGUCUUGUUCAACUCAAAUCUUCUUGGGGGACUCAGAGUGGGCUAGUUUUCUUGACGCCCCCGUGGGAUGUAAAGUAUGGUUUCCUUGGUGGGUGCCAUCUCAGAUUUAAUUUCAACCUUCUUCUCUGCUUCCGAGUGCUUGGCUUCACUCAUUUCCUUUUCUUCAACCUUCUUGGGGGUAACCUUCGGUUUUCUGUAUGCAUCAGCAAUGGCUAUUAUGGCUUUCAAAUCAGGGUUAAAUUCUUUGUCCUCACAAAUCAUCCCGAUGACUGGCCCAUAGUUGUUAGGCGGCAACGGGUUAUUGGUUAAGUUCGGAACAUCUUCAUCCCUCAGCACUAUUUUCUUUUGUUAUAUUAGAUCCUCCACUGCUCGUUUCAGAGUCCAACAAUUUUCAGUGUUGUGUCCUUCGGCCCAUGAAUGAUAAGCACAGCGUACACCCCGUUGAUAGGAAGGUGACUCAGGGUUCUACCUAUUCUGGGGCACAGGAUGCAAUAGACCCAUCUGGACCAGUUUUGGGAAUAAGCUGGCAUAAGAUUCCCCUAUUGGUGUAAAGUUUUAUUUUCUGGGUGGCUCCCUAUGACGGAAAUUAUUUUGUGGAGGGCGGGGAUUAUAGUGGUUUUGGGGAGGCUGAUUUCUUGGGGCCUUAUUUCUGUUGCCCUAUUGUUGUGGUCGAGCGAAUGGCUGGGAAUUCAUAACUACAUAAGGUUGUGGAACGCAAUGCAUGUCUUGAUGGGGAUAGUAGUGUUGAGAGGUCUUUUCUGAAAACAUGGGCCUGGGGGAUUGGUGCCUGCUCACGCUGGAGGCUGCUAUUGAAGCUUCUUCUUUCUUUUUGUUUCUUGAGACUCCUCCUACCCCGCUUUGUAUGGCCUGGGAUGUCACCUUUAUGGCUGAUUGGCUCAGAAUUGUUCCUGUUUUCAAGCUAUUUUCUACCAUCUCGCAGAUCUUGAUUGCUUCCGUGAAAGGUUUGCCCAUUGCUGACAUCAUAUUUUGGAAAUAAUCCGCCUCCUAUGCCUAGAGAAAAACAGUGACCAUCUCUGUCUCAUCCAUGGGUGGUUUUACUCUUGACGCUUAUUCGCGCCACUUGACAGCAUAUUCUCUAAAAAUUUCCGAAGGUUUCUUUUUCAGGUUAGCCAAAGAGUUCCUGUUCAGGGCAAUGUCGAUGUUAUACUGGAACUACCUUACGAAAUCCCGGGCGAGAUCAUCUCAAAUAUGCCAUCGAGUGAUGUCCUGGUCCAUGUACAAUUCAGAAGCGAUGCCAACCAAACUCUCCUCGAAGUACGCCAUCAAUAGUUUUUCUUUUCCACCUGCCCCAUGCAAUUGGUUGCAAUAUUUUUUCAAAUGAGCAAUGGAGUCGCUAUGACAAUCGUACUUUUCAAACUUCGGUGUUUUGAAUCCCAGGGGAAGAUGUACAUGCGGGAACAUGCACAAAUCUCUGUAAGACACGCUCUUUUGCCCACUCAAUCCUUGCAUGUUUUUCAAGCUCUGCUCAAGGCUUUUCAUCCUUCUUGCUAUCUCAUCUUGUUCAGACGUUUUAAGAGUUUUAUCCUGCACCGAUGUGAGAUCAUACGCUGGUUGAGGAUAGGUGUAUGUAAGGUAUUGGGGAUGCUCAGUUUGACAGUUGGGAGUUUGAAAUGUGAAAGCUGUAGGAUCAAACAUAGGUCUUAGCACCGCGGGCUGUGUGGUGGCUGCGCAUGGAGGAGCCGUAAAAAUAUUAGGAAAUGGGCCAAAUGUGAACACCUGAGGGCGGACUUCAGAAGGUGCUCCGACAAAGUUGGCUGGAGUAGGCUGUCCCAAAAGGCUGUUUGGGUGGCUAAUAGGAACAAUAGAGGUACCCCCCCCCCCCCUUGCUAGACAUAGGGGAGUCGUACAAAUAUUGAGGACUGUGCCAGAGGUGAACACAUAAGGGCGGACUUCAGAAGGCGCUCCGACAAAGUUGGCUAGUAUGGUAGGUUGUCCCAAGAGGAUUUUUGGGUGGCUAAUGGGAACAUGGGAAGUACCCCCUGACCUUGGGAAAAGCUUAGGAAAUCCAGGGAUGGCGCUCGGUGGCUCUUUUCCAUUUGUCCAAGCGUCCCACAUCUCCAUAACUCUGAGUCGAAGGAUCUUAUUUUCUUUAGCUGCCGCAAAUUCUGAGGCUAGGAUCCUGCAAUAAGGCUAUCCUCUGAGAUGGGAACUGCUGGCAAAGUCAUUUCAAAUGACAUUUUUGCGCUUCCUUUUGAUUUGGUGAAAUAUCGAUGCGAUGACAUUUUACCACAAACCAAACACUAUUCUAAAAACUUGUAACUGGAAACUAGAAUUACAAAUGGUUAGGUUGGGAGAGAUAGCAAAAAGGGAAUCACAUAUUAGGUAUGAUGCACCUACAUAGUUAACAAGUUUCUAUAUGUUUGCAACGGUCGCAUGCACCGUCCCGGCAUUUAUUCCGAACUUCCUUUUGGUUUCCACUUCUUAUUUCCUUUUUAGCUUUUCUUGCUUUGGUUUUCCUCUUUUACGAAUACGGUCGUACCAUGCCCCGCAUGAAUCGGACCGAUCGUAGUUCAUGAAAAUAUGUGAUGGAAAUAACCGGAUAUUUUGGGAUUUUCAAUUCUUAUAAAGGCAAAACUUCGGUUACAAAGUUAAAGGCAACUAACAGACUCGAGACUUACAGACGUAGAGUAAUAAUGCGUAAAACAAAUACAGACUGACUGACUCUUUUUAGGAAAAAUACAAAUUUUCAGAAAUCAUGAAUACAUUAAGACUUCAACUGCUUUUGGAGCUUGCGAGGCAUCAUCCGGCCUUGCCUAAACUUCCUUGGAGAUGGUAGAGGCCUUCCAUCACUUGACGAACAAAUGUCAUGGCGAUGGCGAAGAACAUGAAUUUCGUCAUAUCCUCACAAUGGUUUCACUUUUUGGUGAUGUAAUCUGUGAUUGCUCGUAUCCUCUCCCUAAUAACACCUUUUUCUUGCAACAAACGCCCAAUUUGCUCGGCCCUUACUUCUAGAGAUUGCUCUGCUACCUGAUUCAGGUUCUAGAAUUGCCGCAAAUCCAUCUCCAACUUUGCUAUCACUGCAUAAGAACGUUCUCUUUCGGCUUUGAAAUCCCCAACUUGCUUGGCCAUUCUAUUCUCAGCCAUGAUGAUCCUCCGCUUUAAACCAACAAUCUCAUCGUUAUGCCCUUAUUUUAAACGCUCAAGGAUGCGGGCUCGUUCCUCCGCACUUUUAGCCAAUUACAUCUGAACCCUGGAUAACUCUCAUUUCCUUAUUCAAGUCAAAUCCAUACUCGGUUACUUUCCGCCGCAAAUUUUCUAUGAGUUUCUCAUCUUUUGUGCUUCUAGGGGGAUUUUCUGUGGUUGCUUUUAUUUUCUAGAUUUGGGCUCGUAAGGCUUCGUUAUCUUUGGUUAAUAUCUUCUUUUCUCCCUCACUAGCUGCAGCUUGCAAACUAUUUUCAAAUUGCAGCUCUUUGAUUUGCUUUUCAAAUCUGCCUAUAGUGGCCCUAUAUUCAUUUUCCUUAGCUAGCCAAUCCCAUUGCUCUUGCGAUGUUUCAGCAAAUUCUUGGAGAUGCGGUCUCUUAGCCGGCCUUCCAGGCUCUAUUUCUCUUUUGUACCAAGCACCAUACCCUGGUGCAACCUCGCCUUUAGAAAUGUCGCAUACUCGAUUACCUACUGUCAAGUAUUGGCAUUUACUCCAGAUCUGACGUACGACGGUUUCAGGGAAUUGACCAUUUGGGCUUAUCUCAACCGUGUGACGACUAAUAUCCUCAUCCCUGGGGAUCAUUUGGAAUCUACCUAAUUGUCUUAGUACCCUGUAUGGCGCAUAGGGCUGGAUACUUCGGAGACCCAUCAGAAGGAAAUGAGGCCCGGCGGCUGGCAUAUACACAACUUCAUCCACAGGGAGCCACUCGAAUGUCCACUCUAUCUGAUUUAAAGUGAUGACCUGGAGAUGCGAAACCCAUUCUGUGACACCCUCAGGCACUCUAAACCCAUCAGCCCUGUUGCAGAAUUCUUUUAUGCAGCUCUUUAUUGGUGACCCAUAACUCAUGAACCGAGGUCGGUGGCAUAGAUCCUCGAUCAUCCAUAUUUGCAACAACAGGUUACAUCCUUCGAAGAAGUCUUCUCCCGCUUUACAGGUAGUGAGAUCACGGAAGAUUUCGAAUAAGAUCAUUGGAGCGCGGGUACUUUUGGCAUGUGUCAUUAAAGCGCUAACGACCCUUGCUAUCCGUAUGUCAAUAUUUCCGUCCUUUCGCGUCACCAUAAGACCCAAGAAAAAUACCAUGAACGCAAAACAUCGAUGCUCCUCCCAUUUGAGCUGAUUUCCUUUGCUACAAAUAGGAUUUUCUGGGUUAUUAAAUCCCCCGAUAUGUCCGUACCUCUGAUAUAUAAACUGCAGGGUGCAGAAGCCAGGUGAUAGGUCCGGAUUGUGAACCUUCCUACCGAUUUUCAAGGAGUCCAGGAAUUUGUGCACGGCAAAGGAUCUUUGUGCAAUCAGGUAUUGGUGUCUCAAAGGAAUUGUAGGAGUCCCAAUACAUCCAGUUAUUUCCUCCAAUGUCGGGGUGAGUUCAAAAUCUGAUUAAUGGAAGACAUUAUGAGUUGGGUCCCAAAAUGUGAUAAAUGCUUUUAUGAUGUCUCCACUUGGAUUAAUUUUCAACAAACCAGUGAGGCCUACCAGAUGCGUAUUGACCAUUUUUUGUCCUGCUUCCCUCAGGUCAUCCCACCAUAGUCGCAACUCCAAGGGAAUUUUGUUCAUGAACAUUAUCGUGCCCAUUCUGCACAUUUAUUAAGGUGAAUUAGUAUCCCAAAAUUUGACUAUUUGACUCCAGAAAAUAUUAAAGCCCGUAAUUUAUGAAAUUUAUUUCUUAAAAUCAGGGCCCGGCUUUGCGAAUACGGCCUUGCAACACUUCGGAAGGAAGAUUUUUAAGGUUGUGUUAGCUUGCCGGUCAAAAAUAAGAUUCAGGGGUGCCCAUUAGCGCAAAAUCAGCCUUCCAGCGCCCCUUGAGGUAACAUUCGGCUGCUUUUGGCAAUAACAGAAUCACCUGCAUUUUUAAGAAAAUAAUUAAAACUGGCCAAUUGUUUGUGUUAUUAUUUUUUGCAAAAGGGAGGUUGGAUCCAAUAGAGGUUGCCUACAUAUCUUUCUCCUGACAAGAAUAAAACCAGUGUAGUUCGGUCAAUGACAAUUUAUUAAAGCCAAAAAUUUAUUGAAAACACCCCCAUUUUCUUUAACCUUCUUUUGUGUUGUUUUGUUUUGGAAAAAUCCGGCAGCAUUUCGGCGCUUUUUGAGCAUUGGUUUUACAAAUGAUUAAUCUCAGUAACUCUCAAAUUUCCUCUUUAUUCACAAGCCAGUCAACAUGCGAGUCCAAAGAAAAUAAAUGUGCAAGUAGCACGUAACAUGCAUCAAGAUGGUCUUUUUCAUUUUGGGUCACCUGUCCUAGACGGAUCCAACCCCUGUGUUGAAUCCCCCUAAGUCAAAUGCAUGAUGAAAAUGAGCGUUCCUACUAGGGAUCCGGCAUGAGGUCAAGUUAUUUUAAGUCAAAAACCUUGGUAUAGGGUCUAGACUGUGCACCCAAGCGGACGACUCGAGUCGAGGAGAGGGAUACGUAACGAGAACCAAAAGGCCAUCCGACUUAGUAACUUGUCCGGCCUCUUUCUUAUUUUCAGGUAUGACACUAACAGAAUAGGGAAUCUCAACCAGAAAGCACAUCCCCGGAGGUGAGAAGAGAAGGGUUUUGUAGCAGUUUAUAUAUACAGUCAGAUAAUAUCAAAGCGAUAAAGCAUUUAGCACUUAACAUAGAACAGGUAAGCAAAUCAGGAGAAGCCAAAUAUAACAGUUAUUCUAAGCUCGAAUUCUUAAACGUUGAACCAGAGAUUCUGGGUUCAUUUCCCCAGUAGAGUCGCCAGAGCUAUCACACCUCCUUUUUACACGGCUACCCCGAAGGAUAAACGUAUAAGGGAGUUUUUCCAAUUAAAGUNNNNNNNNNNNNNNNNNNNNNNNNNNNNNNNNNNNNNNNNNNNNNNNNNNNNNNNNNNNNNNNNNNNNNNNNNNNNNNNNNNNNNNNNNNNNNNNNNNNNUUGUUUAGAGUCGCCACUUGGGAUAGGUUUGGCUUUUGGUGUCCCAAGUCACCGGUUUAUUUAGAAUCCCAAGUCGAGGAAAUUUUUUGACUGCCGAAUGGAGUCUGCGUACCAGAAAUUCUAAGUAAGGAAUUCCAUUGACCCAAGGGAAGGUAUUAGGCAUCCUCGGAUCCCGUGGUUCUAUCACGAUCGCUUAAACUAUUAUAGAUGGCCAAUUAUCUGAUAUUUAUGCAUGUUCAUCCUAUAGUGCAAUUUUAAAAUUAUUAACCGCUUUAUUCACUUUUAGGAAUAUUUACAACGCUAUUAAAACACGUCUCGAACCACGUCACAUAAAUGUACCCGGAUUCUCGACAUUUUUAUAUCGUUGAGAUUUAGAUUUGGGUCACAUAAAUGCACACCCGAAUUUAGGAAGAUACAUUAUUAAAAUAAUGAGCCUGAAGUAACUACGCAUUUUAAACUUCGUGGAAAAAACCGUGAAAUUCACUAAAUGGCAUCUCCCAAAUUUCUAAGCAUUUUAUUACAAUUAAAGGGCCACGCAACAUAUGAUUUUUGUUUAGCGUGGCACACCCAUUUUUUAUUUUUAGACAGGCAACCUAAGGGGACUAUGAUUCUCUAUUAAACAUGUUCCUAAAUAAAAGAGAAGUCCUAAUUAACUUGUAUGCUAAUGGUUUAUCCAAAGGAAACAUUCAACAAUGUAUAUCUUCAGCACUUUGAUGGCUGAUUUCUGCAAUUGGGCCUUACUAACGAAGGCAGUUAGCCCAGAAGUAUAUUUUCAUACUUCACAAGUACAACGAUUUGGGCCUUCAGUUGAGCCCAGAAAUUUGGAAUUACAAAUUAACUACAAGGAAAUGAUAGCAUUUCCCAAAUUAUUAUGUUACAGUUGUUGAGAUUACUCAUAGUUGAUUAUUUUUAACGUAUUAAAGACAUUCGACAAAGGGAAAUCCAGGUAGUGAUUUUCCAUACUAGUGAAUCAAUAUGCUAAAACUCAGGUUUCGAAUUCAACGUCUGCAAACCGAUGGACUUAUCAAUCAGAAUCGUGUACACACGAUGAUUCCAUACUACUGAAUCAAUGAAUUCAACGUCUACAAACUGAUGGACUUAUCAAUCAGAAUCGUGUUCACAUGAUGAUUCCCUACUACUGAAUCAAACAGGAAAACUAGGCAAAUUGUUGACUACCAUGUUUUCAACCUCUACUGAAAUUUAAAUAACUUAAAGCUAACAGUCCAGCAUAGUCCAAAUGUUUAUACAUAUUACAUCACCAAGAUGAGAUGAAUAUUUCAAAUACUACUAAACUAGUAACAUUUGCAACUAUAACGUUAACAUGAAAAAUACAAAUAUCUUCAUUGUCAAAUAUGAGCAUUCAUAUACACAAUUGUGCAUUUCCAGAUUUCCUGAGUGAGAGUAAGUACCUGGAAUUACAGCAAAGAGGAAAACACCUAUGAGUAAG